CAAAGAUUUAUCGCCAAGGGAUGAGCCCGCGUAAGAUUAGGUAGUUGGUGGGGUAAAGGCCUACCAAGCCCACGAUCCAUAGCUGGUCUGAGAGGAUGAUCAGCCACACUGGGACUGAGACACGGCCCAGACUCCUACGGGAGGCAGCAGUAGGGAAUCUUGCGCAAUGGGCGAAAGCCUGACGCAGCCAUGCCGCGUGAAUGAUGAAGGUCUUAGGAUUGUAAAAUUCUUUCACCGGGGAAGAUAAUGACGGUACCCGGAGAAGAAGCCCCGGCUAACUUCGUGCCAGCCGCCGCGGUAAUU
rnacentral:rRNA from 1 species